UCUUACACAGUCAUUUAAUUCAUGACUUUAAAAAAUUAAUGCUGAUGUUGUGAAAAUAAGUAAAAGAAAGAAGUACUACAUAUAAAAAAGACUACAUACUCUGAUUAAGGAAUUGAAUAUGUGGAGCAAACAAAUGCAUCUGUCUAAAUUGUAAGCAACGGAAUUACAAGAAACACUUUCGAGUGUGCAUAAAAUCUUCACAGUGCUCUUAAGAUUUCGAUGCAUCACAGGGAUAUUACAUGUUUAUUAAGCUAUAGUUGACACUGUGAAACUCAAAUCAUUUAUGCCUUUGGUGUGACAAACACAAUACAAUUAAACUUACCUUCAUUCUCACCUUUUUGUAUUGUGUUUGUUGCACUGAAUUUAGCGAUCUAAAUUAGAAAUGAAACUCUUACUGCCCUUUGGGGUUCUGGUUUGAUUUAUUGUGAAAGCUACUGUAACCUGCACUGAUUUUAUUUGAUCGAAAGCUACUGUAACCUGCCCUUUUUGAAGGGGAAAAAAAAUCCUACUUUUUUCAAAAUUCUGUUUGGUUCUGAACUGUACAAUUCCAAACUUUUUAGAAUCUCAUUGCUUGGCAGGCUCUGUAUUCUUGGUUUGAAUUCAAUUCAUAGCUGGGUUUAAUCACAAAUAAAGUGGAAAUCUAGUGUUAAGGAAAAAUUGUCGUUGGAGUGGUGUAUAUACAAGGACCUAGCUUCUCAAACGAUUUAUGGGAUAGCCAGAUCAGCUAGAAUCCACCACCAUACAUUAAUUAUGAUGAUUCUGUAAAAGUGGGGAAUUAAGAAUAACCUUCAAAUUUUAGUUGCAUAAACUGUGCACUCCCUGUUUCUUCAAAUUCUGCAUUUAGCAUAAACUGGGCUCCACUUUUUCAGGUUUGUUCGCAUUUGCUUCUUCAACAGACAUGACGACUGCAACUCAACCCACCUGGGCUCCUGCAAAAGAUGGUAAUGAACAAGGUGGUACUUGGAUUUUUGAUUACUGGUUAAUACCCAUUGCUUACUGGUUACAAAGGGUUCACUUCAGUUAUGAGUUUUCUUUAUUCCAUAAGGUGUCUUGAUUGCUAAUUGAGAAUUUAAUCCACUUUUAUGCUUCAAUAAUUCGAUCUUAAUUUCAGUAUCAAAAAUCAUUGAUGUUGAACAGCAUCACAAGAGCAAUAAUGACAGCUUUUUCGAUAUUGUGGUGCUCCUACGGAUUAGGACCACAUGCAGGGAGAUGUGGUUUCUGCUUUUCAAAGUAAAAGAAACAGCUUUUUCGAUAUUGAGGUGCUCCUACAGAUUAGGACCACAUGCAGAGAGAUGUGGUUUCUGCUUUUCAAAGUAAAAGAAACAAUACAUUGGUUAUGUUGUGCAUCAAAAUUAUGUAUAUGAACUGCAAUACAGUAGGAAUUGACACUGAAUUAUAUCCAACGAAGCAGCUUGAGACGUUGCUAUUGAAAUCGAUGCCUUGAACUGUGAUUUUGUGGGGAGCAAGACGGAAGAGGGUCAGUUUGUUUGUGCUCAAAAGAAGGAACUUUUUUGUUGUUCAAGGGAAUUAGGAUUUUGGGGUGACAUGGUACAGAAGCUGAUAUAUUAGAUAUACAAGAACCCUCAUCCAAAUAUUGUUGUUUUAACAGUUGGAGCAGGUGAUAUAACAAUUGUAGGCUCAAAGCUGUCCAAACUGGAGAUAGAAAAUAUGGUAACCCCAUCAGUGACCAAGUCUUUGCAUGACGUAGAUUUGGUUCGAUGGAGAUGUCAACCAGAACAAAGAAGGCAGUUUUGGAAGUAGUUUGGGGAAAACAAAAGAUGGACUUCAGGUCAUUGAUUCCCGCCACAAAAACUUUUGUGCACAGAUGAGGAAAGACGAUGACUAAAGUUGAAAUCACCGGGUAGAAAGUUACAAGUUCAUUUGGUUGCAAAUGCAUGUGAGUUGGGUUAUGGAAUGGAAGGUGGAAGACGGUCAAGAUCAGAUUGAAGGUACAAGUAUAUUUCUCAAUUUGUAUUAGAUCUUUUGUAAUGUCAAGAAACUGCCAUGCUUUAUUAAUUGAAUUGUAUAAGAUUAAAAGAUCCUAUCCUUUUCUUCAUCUUCUAAACUUUUUCAUUUCAAACAAUUCUAAUUGUUUUUAAGAGUGAGUGAAUCAAAUUAUUAUUUAUCUGUA